GACGAACGCUGGCGGCGUGCUUAACACAUGCAAGUCGAACGGAAAGGCCAUGCUUUUGCUGGGUGCUCGAGUGGCGCACGGGGGAGUAGCACGCGUGUAUACCGCCCCUGACUUUCGGAUAACUCCAGGAAACACGGGCUAUUACCGGAUAGGAGCUCCUGCAGCACGGGGGGCGUUGGAGAGUGUCGGCGGUGGGGGCUGGACUCGAGGCUUAUCGGCUGGUUGGUGGGGUAGUGGAUGACGAAGCCUUUGAGGGGUAGCCGGCCUGAGAGGGGGACCGGCCACAUGGGGCCUGAGGGAGGGCCCAGAAGGCUACGGGAGGCAGUAGGGGGGAAUAUUGCAGAAUGGGCGGAAGCCUGAGGCAGCGACGCCGCGUGCGGGAUGACGGGUUACGGGGUGAAAACAGCUGUCGACGGUGACGAGGCGGGAGUGACGGUAAUGGGUAAAGAAGCACCGGCUAACUACGUG
rnacentral:rRNA from 1 species